UACGGAGGGAGCUAGCGUUGUUCGGAAUUACUGGGCGUAAAGGGUGCGCAGGCGGCCAAGUGUGUGAGGCGUGAAAGCCUGGGGCUUAACUCCAGAAUUGCACCUCAAACUACAUGGCUAGAGCAUUGGAGAGGGUAGCAGAAUUCACGGUGUAGCAGUGAAAUGCGUAGAUAUCGUGAGGAAUACCAGAGGCGAAGGCGGCUACCUGGACAAUUGCUGACGCUCAGGCACGAAAGCGUGGGGAGCAAAAGGG
rnacentral:rRNA from 1 species